CCCUUAGAUGUUCUGGGCUGCACGCGUGCUACACUGAUUACUUCAACAAGUGUUUUAACUGGAGAGUUUGCGUAAUCCUGAAAUGUUAUCGUGAUGGGAGUAGAGUAUUGUAUUUGUUAAUCUUUAACGAGGAAUUCCUAGUAAGUGUAGGUUUAUAAGUUGUUCUGAUUACGUCCCUGCCCUUUGUACACACCGCCCGUCGCUCCUACCGAUUGAUUGAUCCGGUGAAUUACAUAGAAUUUUGCGUUUUACAUGACGGAAGAUGAAGUGUUUUAAACCUUACCAUUUAGAGGAAGGAGAAGUCGUAACA
rnacentral:rRNA from 1 species